rnacentral:lncRNA from 1 species
AUGAUGAGCAUGAAAAAAAAAAUGUUUGAAAAAGAGAAUGAGGAUUUCAAAGAAGAGGUUUUUAAACUGCACAAUGAGAUUUCGCGUCUCGAAAAUGCUCUGAAACACUCUGAAAAAAGAAACUAUUUAUUAGAUAAGCAAGUUCAAAGAAUGCGGUCAAAAAUGGACACAGAUGAGCAACUGUUCAAAAGGUUUGGCAAUGCUCAGGAAUCCCACUUAAGUUUGAAGUCUCAUUAUGUUGGAAAGAAAGGGCCAGUCAUCUGUUCCUGUACUGAACGUUUCUUCUUAGUUCAUUUGCAAAGUCGAAAGCGUAUUUUUAAUGUUGAUUGA